CUUGUUUCCUUGCUCAACAUUUGACCGUUCAUCUUAUUUAAAAAAAUUAUGAAAAAAAUUAAAAAGACAAGUCACGCAUAAAAUAUUAAUCAUGUUUUAUCAUCUAACAACAAUAAAAAUACGAAUUAUAAAAAAAAUUCAUAUAAAACGGACAGUCAAAGUUAAAUACGAAAACCCAAAUUUAUCUUUUUU
rfam:Oryza sativa (indica cultivar-group) chromosome 2, whole genome shotgun sequence.